rnacentral:lncRNA from 1 species
AUGUUGGGACGACAGGUGCUCCUGAAAGCAUCAGCGGUGAAGUUUGAGGAGUGGAGAGGUGACUGCUGCACGGCGGCGGUGUGGCUGCUGCUCACAGACUGUUGUACCGCGAUGGGUAUAAAUCUCUGGCUGUUCUCCAAGCUCCACUGCUUCUGGUCUUUCUUAUUUGACAAUACAUCAAAGACUUUUUGCAAAUUGAUAACACCGUACUCUUUUCUUGCAUUGUUUGGGUUACCUGUGAACUGUCGUAGAAGCAGAAUCCCUCAUACUCCAACAAUGGCUAUCUGCCCCAUAUUCCACAGAUGGCUGAAGGAGCUUGGAAAGAUGAAUUAUGUAGAAGACCUUUAAUAAAAAAGUCAAUAAGAAAAGUAUCGUCAUAAACAUAAACAAGUGUUCAAUAACCCAGCAGAAGUUAACAGACUCGUACAUUUUAUGUGCUUGAUAGGAUGUGAUAAGAUGUUGGGUUUCUGAUAUAUUAUAAAUUAUAUUUUUCCUUUUUGUUUGUUGCUUGGUCUACUACAAUUGUUGCAUAUAUAUUUGAAUUCUUGUGCUUUGUACAUUACUUAAUCGUGCCUCUGUGUUUAGUCAGUGCUGCCAUUAUUUUGUACUGUACGCUGUACCUGUCCUUUUAAAAACACGAUGAACAGACUUUAUAAAGUUUUUUUUUGUUUAAUCCCUACAACAAUUAAAGUGAAAAAAUUAAAACUUGGUUUUCAUGACAGUUUCUCUCCAGGUGCUCUACAGAUACUGGCAGGUGGAUUUCUUAAGAAGGAGCAUAAUGGGAAUGAAUAGGAAAAAGUAUAUUUACCAAAAUGUCCAAUGACUACUGUAAACCGAAAUGGGUGCUCCAACAGUCGCCAAGAUAAAAUGUUGGCAGUUAUGUUAAUAAUGAUUCUGCAAGCCACAGAUACGUCCAAAUUUGUUGGUGUCAUAUUGACAUGUCUACAAAACGUGUCAUAUCAAGUUCACAUUACAUUUGUAUUACCUGACUUUCUUGUCUGGAGGUAAAGGGAACAGUGUUGGAGUUACUGGCGACAAGGCUUUAAGCGUGACACCACUGGAUAUUUGAGCCCUUUGGACAAUUUCCAACUGUGUUUGUGUCGACCAAAACAGGUAUUUAAAGCCAAAACAUAAUGUUUUCCUAACCGUGACCAAGUGGUCUUUGUGCCUAUACCAAAAGAGAGCAUGAACACAGCAUUGUGUCAAGAGAGGAAUAGAAAGUUGAACCCAAAAAAAUUUAACGAUCACUGGUGGAUCAAAGGUGCAGGGGGGCAAUGGCCCCGCUUGGUGCCCCCAUGUUUGAAAAGUAACCUGUUGGUUGCACCUAUGGUAGAUAAAACAUGAUCAAGUGCCCACUGGGUUGCUCCUUCCGAUGGACAAAAUGUGGUAAAGUACCCUCUGUUCACUACAAAUAUACCCCCCCCCCCCCCCCCCCCCCUUAAUUGUGGUGCCCUUUUAUUUUUCACCCCUGCCCCUAAAACAUCCUGAAUCCACCACUGGUAAAGAUGCAACAAAAAAGUGUAAAGUUUUAACUUAUGUGUGGUUUUGUGGAAACAUACUUGGGUUGCCCAAACUCUUGCAGUGUAGCAUCACAGAACAGAACUUCACUGUUCUGACUGUAUAUAAAUUAAUAAUCAAUCACUGCAGCAGCUGAAAGUCCUCCUCUGACCUGUGCUGUUAAUCUGACUGCCGGGUGACUGUUACUGUAGAAAUAGCAUGAGGCCUGUACACAUUCGAGACGUAUUAGACGACACACUCCUAAAGUAUCCUUAUUAUACCGCUCGUCUUAUUUUGAUAAACAGUAAUUUGGUGUCAUGGAGGACAGUGCUGAGUGAAUGGGACUUGUCUGUCUAUCUGCCUCUCUGCCAUUCACACCAUUUGUCUGUCGGGUUAAGACUCUCCUCUCUCCCUCUCUCUUUCUCCGUGUUGACACAUAUACAUAUCACACACCGGGAUUAGCAUGACGGUGACUGUAACAAACCUCUCUUUUGAAAAAAAAAAAAAAGAGAAAGAGAGAAAAGGGGGGAAAAAGCACCCUAUUCUAUAGUGGAGGUGCCCAGCCAGAAAAUAGCAUACUUAGACAACAAUGGCGUGGUAAGUACCUUAGCAAGGAUCAGCGCUGGCAGAGUGAAACACAUUACAAAACAAUGGCUGACUGCCUGCCUGCUUGGCUGCUUGGAUGGCUGUCAGGAGCUUGCAGGGCUGCCAUGAGCUGCCAUGCUGUUAUUUGUCAGGGGAAGAGAAAAGGAGACAGAGACACACAUCAUCAUCUCGCUCCUCAUCGCCCGUAACGGCGAGUCUAAUCCCGCCUGCAGACGGAUCUCCCAUGAUCCCCCUCUGCAAAGUGUGGCGUGUGAUGUUGUUCCACUACAUGACAACAACAUGGACGUGGAUGCAGAGAUGACAGGAGGGGAUGUAAAAAGUGGCAGUUUGAUGCGGUUUGGUCUUUGCAUUGUUGAGUUUAAAGAGAGCUUUAAAAACAGAUACAGUGAGGUAACGCUCGCAAGUACAAGGAAAUAGAUGAGGGCUGGGCAAUGUAUAGGACAUAUAUCGUUAUUGUGAUGUCAGACUAAUUACUGUCUUAGAUUUUGGAUUCUGUGAUAUGACAUAACUGUUCUUUUGCUGGUUUUUAAACGCUGCAUUACAGUUAAUCGGUGUCAUUUUCUGAACUUAACAGACUGUAUUACUUGUUUUAAUACCUAGAACCUAAAACAUUAGGUUUUUGAUUGUAUUCUUUUGCCCGGACGUAGCAUCUUUGAGGUGCCUUUGAGGAGAUUUCAAAAUAUCGAGAUAUACAUCGCGUAUCGUGACAUAAACACUGCAAUAUUUUUAAGACAAUACUGCCAAUCAGCUGUAAAAUAGAUGAUUUUAGAUCAUCACUACAGCAUUAAGUCGGUUAAUCUGCAAAAAUUUUGAUGAAUUGUUAAACUAUUUUUUAACAAUGCAUAUAUAUUUAUGUUGUGACACUUUCUGGUUAUAGCUUCUUAAAAGUGAAGAUUCGAGGCUAUCUUUGAGUUUUGUAUUGUUGGUCAGAGUUUUCUAGAUGUCCCCUUGGUCUAGGGUUGCAGCAGUAUACCAGUUUCAAGAUAUACAGCUUGAUGGUUAUCAUAACGUGCACAUUUGCUCACCGAAGGUAUUGAAUUUGACUCAUAUCUGUGUUUACCUUAUUUCAAGUUUAACGUCUGUCAGGACCUAAUAUUGUGUGAAAUUAUAACAAAGCGUUUGCUUAACCGAAAAACACCCUCCGCUUUCAUUCCCUUAUGGACCAUUGUAACUGAUAAUGAAAGUAAUAAUCAGAAUAGUUUAAUAUCGUGAUAUUUUCUGAAAUCAUAUCGUUAAAAACCUACGUUGAAUGGACCUUUUUCACACUAAACAAUCCAUCAACUCAUUGAUAUAUGAAAAUAUUCCCGAGUUGUAGCCCGAAUACAUACAUAAAAUAAGAGUAAAAUAUAUAUUCAUACGAAUGACGGAAACAGUCACACUAA